UUGCCCUCUUUAAUGCCAAAACCAAAUGGGGUGUGUGCUCCAUCAUGCUCUCCUUUUCCUUGUCGCAGUAGGUUAAGGGGGGCGCCAACAGUUGGCACCCCAUGGAUUCAAUCUGUUGGUGCCCCAUGGAUCCAAUCCAAUUGGACUGAAGUCCAAUUUCUUCCAACUUUAUUUAUGAGGCAAACCAACUCUUGUCUGCUUAUAAUGCUUGCAAUUGACUUGAUCUAAUUUUUAUCUCA
rnacentral:lncRNA from 1 species